CAGGUAGGACUACCCGCUGAACUUAAGCAUAUCAAUAAGCGGAGGAAAAGAAACUAACAAGGAUUCCCCUAGUAACUGCGAGUGAAGCGGGAAAAGCUCAAAUUUUAAAUCUGGCAGUCUCUGGCUGUCCGAGUUGUAAUCUAGAGAAGUGUUAUCCGCGCUGAACCGUGCAUAGUCCUC
rnacentral:rRNA from 1 species